GAGCCACCCAGGCGCCCGGGAGAGAGAGAAUCUUAAGCAGACUCCGCACUCACUGAGGGUGGAGCCUGAUGCGGGGCUCAAUCUCACAACCUGGAGAUCAUUACCUUAGCUGAAAUCAAGAGUCCCACGCUUAACUGACUGAGCCACCCAGGCACUCCCUAGCCUGACAUUUUUAAAUUUUCACUUUUGAUCCUUGGAGUCCACACCUUGAUUCGUUCAAUACCCAUUUACUGAACAGUUACAAUGUGCACUAUGCUAGGCCAGGGGAUACACAUCCAGAAAACAUGCAGCCCCCUUCUGUCAAGUUGGUCGUAUCCCAGAAGCCUAGCAGGUGUGAUAAGUGGUGUUGCAUGGGGCUGCCAGCUUGCCAGUAUUCUCUGGGUACCAGAUAAGACAAUCUGAAGUGGGAGUAGGGCUGAGGGCAAUAUGAGUACACUGGGAAAGCCUCUUUGGGGUUGAGGUCAGAGCUUCUCCAGAAGUAGAAGGUGCAACGGGCAGGUACAGCCCAGGCAGAAGGAGGGUUCUAACUGGCAGAGAAGCACAACGGCUGGGAGGGCCUGAGGCUUUAGUGGUCUCCUUCGGAGAUGUGGCCGGAAUGGUAAGCAGGAGGUCCCCACGAAUGCCUCAUCCGCAAGGGUUUAAAGUGGAUCCUGGCGCCUCUGCCCACGAAGGCACUGGCGGCCUCAAGCAGAGGUGGUGUUCAGAUUCGCCUUUUCCAACCUCUAGUAGACAGAGAAGCAGGAACCUGGAAGUCCAGUUUGGAGAGUAUCGCGCCCAUGCCUGAGGGGAGGCGGCUGGACCACAGGGUGGCAAGGCUCCUCAGCCCUUGGAGGCUGCCCCCAAGAAACCGGAGCCGAAUGAAUCGAAAUGAAGACUCGUGAGGACAAGUCCUCUGUGAUUCUGCCGCCAGGAGAAGUCUCCAGAAAGCGGGAUUUCCCAGGCCCCAGGCGGAGGAGGGUGAGGCAAGGACCGCCGCCCCGACCCACCUAGGACCAAGUUGAAAGGCAGCUCCCAGGCACCUGCCACUCCCUUCUCCCGAGCCUAUUGUUUAUCUACUUAUUCCUACUUAGCCGGACGGCUGUUUCUAAACAAGCUGCGUCUGAGCCGCUCCUUCGCCUGUCCAUCAGCACGGGGUUCAAUGAGCGAGUGAAAGCCGCGUGUGCCCCGCCCCCGCGCCGGCCACUGCGGCCUCGCGCUUGGGUCACAUGCUCGGAGAGCGUCACCGCGCCUGCGCGGACGUCCGGCGGCGGUCUCGCGAUCCUCCGACAGACGCUGGGACUCCGGGACUAGGCAGGGAGAGGCGAGGCCCGCUCUUCCCUUCACCCCUCCCGUACGCGUGCCGCGGUGCCCGGGGUUGGACUUGAGUUCGCGGGGAGAAGGCGGAGCCGCCGGCAGGGACAUCUCUAAAGGGCUCUGUCCCUUCAGGAGCUUCCCGGAGAUGCUUUAGGGCUGCAUUUGCAAAGCGCAGCGCCUCCAAGUGUUGGUGGGGGAGUCAGAAAGUAGGCUCCAUGCCCAAUGUGGGGCUUGAACUCAUGACCCUGAUAUCAAGAGUCGCAUGCUGUACUGACUGAGUCAGCCAGACUGGAGAAUAUCCCCUGACUGAAACGCUCACCCCAGAAGUCUUCCCCUAUCACCCACUUGCCAUGGAAAGGCUUGAGGGGGUACCUGAAUUUCCUAAGGGGCGUCGGUGUGUGUGCAUGUUUUUCUGGGGCGAGUGUCCAGAGAGGCAAGAAGCAGUGACUUGGGGUUGGCUCCUAGCCGUGGAGCACUGUGUGGAGCAGGGCUCAAUGGAGGGGGAGUCAUGGCCCUGCUUGUUGACAAGAGGUGGCCGCACGGUGGGAGGUGCGCAGACUCCAGGGACAGAGGCAUAGGCUUUGCCACGUAGCUCCUCAGUUUUCUCCUCCGUAAAAUGGAAAUGAUAAUCACAGUUCCUCACCUCAGAGGGCUGAUACUAAGAUUAAAUGAGUUAAUAUAUACAAAUGCUUAGGGCCAUGCCUCACACUUCAUAAGAGCUGGUUUUUAUUAUAGCUAAUUGUUAGCGAUGCAUCGGGAUGCACAGUAUGGCCGAAGACAUUGAAUCAGGAGCAGCAACUGAGCGUGCACGGUUGUUGAUGUUGUGCAAAGCACACAAUCGAAGCAUUCUCUCCCCUCCAGCACUUAGGGCAAAUUCCUUAACUGGCCUGUGUGUCUGGGAUCUCACCUGCUAUGGAGAUGAUAAUAGUAACUACCUCACAGGACUAUGGUAGGGGUUCUAGGCAGGCUCAGAGCAGUGACUCCAACUCAGUAGAUGAUAGUAUUGUUUUGUUUUGUUUUAAUUUUUAAGUAGGCUCCAACGUGGGGCUUGAACUCACAACCCUGAGAUUAAGGGUCACAUGCUCUUCGACUGAGCCAGCCAGGUGCCCCUCUGCUGCCUAGGUACGUUCAGUCUCCUCAUUUUGAUGAGAGAGGCCCCUUCCAGGCGAUUCCCACAGCCUUCCCUCACGCCGAAACCUUCACAACUCACCCAGCACCUUCAUGCUCGCCAUGUCCGCCUCCUAGCGGCCCUACGCAGAGAGGAAGUGACUAACCUAGGCCCCUCCACCGGCCCCCUGCCUAGCCGUAUUACCUUCCAAGAGUCCCCCCUAUCUCUCCCCAGUUCCCAUCUGUAGCAAACCCACUCCUGAAACCCCACACCGACCACCAAGCCUUCCCAGCUGAGAAUCCCCAUGCCGAACCAGUCCUGCGAGAUGUGUGCAUCCCUCCUCCCAGCCAGUCCUGCUCCCCUGCCUGCGCCUCUCGCCGUGACUCCGCACACAGCUCAGCCCUUUGCCAGACAGCUGCUGAAUGAAGGAAAUCAGGCACGGGAUGAUUCUACUACCCCAGGAUGUGCACAUAUUGGAGGGAAGGAAGGAGGAGCCACCGAGAGACUGAUCUGCACUGUAGACUAAGACUGAACACAUAGGCAGUGGCCAGAGCAGAUGGAAAGACAGAACUCCCACCCAGGUCCUGCAGAAACCUGCCCAGCAAACCAACUCCUCAUCAACAAGAAAACACCCAGGCGAUCCGUAGGUCACAUUUGUAAGAAGACAAUCUCUAGUAACGAUUCAAAAAAGCGAAACACCAACUUUCUGGAACAAUUGGCUCAAAACAGCCAGAACUGACAACUUCCCCAAGUUUUGUCCACAUUGCAGCUUAGGACCAACCAGCGAAAGUCAAAUACGCACCCCCAACCAGUCACACAGGACGCCCGGCUUCUAGGUACCUGCUUUACAGCUUCCCCACGCCCACAGCCUCCAGAGAAGGCACAUCCGAAUCCUUCCCUUUUCCCUGCUAUAAAGCAAGCUUUCCCGCCCCUCUGCCUGCCCGAGUCUCUUUGACAGCAAGUGACCAAGGCUGACUGACUCCCUUGCUGUAGCAAGCUUUGAAUAAAUAGCCUUUGCUCUUCUCUCAUUUGGUUGGUCUUCAUUUAUUUCCCCAAGACCCAGGAACGGCAGCUCAGGGAGCGAGGCUCAGACUAUCCUCCGUCAGUACCGUCGGUCCCCCUGGGGUGGAGCUCGAGCCCUCAGACGGCAGAGUUGCUGGCUGGUCCACUGGAAACGCUGAUCAGACCUUUGGACUCAGCUGAGCCGGAGCUGGAGAAGCCAAAUUGACUCAGAUUAAAUCCCCCAGGCAUAAAACCACAAAAGAGUUUUUGUUAGAUGCUGAUUGGGAAGGAGGGGCCCCAGAGAUCUGGGAAAAGGGUAGGACAUCUGGGAAUAGAGAAAUGAGGGA